AUUGAACGCUGGCGGCAGGCCUAACACAUGCAAGUCGAGCGGCAGCACGGGUACUUGUACCUGGUGGCGAGCGGCGGACGGGUGAGUAAUGCCUAGGAAUCUGCCUGGUAGUGGAGGAUAACGUCCGGAAACGGGCGCUAAUACCGCAUACGUCCUACGGGAGAAAGUGGGGGAUCUUCGGACCUCACGCUAUUAGAUGAGCCUAGGUCGGAUUAGCUAGUUGGUGAGGUAAUGGCUCACCAAGGCGACGAUCCGUAACUGGUCUGAGAGGAUGAUCAGUCACACUGGAACUGAGACACGGUCCAGACUCCUACGGGAGGCAGCAGUGGGGAAUAUUGGACAAUGGGCGAAAGCCUGAUCCAGCCAUGCCGCGUGUGUGAAGAAGGUCUUCGGAUUGUAAAGCACUUUAAGUUGGGAGGAAGGGCAGUUACCUAAUACGUGAUUGUUUUGACGUUACCGACAGAAUAAGCACCGGCUAACUCUGUGCCAGCAGCCGCGGUAA
rnacentral:rRNA from 1 species